rnacentral:rRNA from 1 species
UACGUAGGUGGCAAGCGUUGUCCGGAAUUAUUGGGCGUAAAGCGCGCGCAGGCGGUCCUUUAAGUCUGAUGUGAAAGCCCACGGCUCAACCGUGGAGGGUCAUUGGAAACUGGGGGACUUGAGUGCAGGAGAGAAGAGUGGAAUUCCAGGUGUAGCGGUGAAAUGCGUAGAUAUCUGGAGGAAUACCGGUGGCAAAGGCGGCAUCCUGGACCGACAUUGACGCUGAGGAGCGAAAGCUAGGAGAGCAAACGGG